CCUACGGGAGGCAGCAGUGGGGAAUAUUGCACAAUGGGGGAAACCCUGAUGCAGCGACGCCGCGUGAGUGAAGAAGUAAUUCGUUACGUAAAGCUCUAUCAGCAGGGAAGAAAAUGACGGUCCCUGAGUAAGAAGCCCCGGCUAACUACGUGCCAGCAGCCGCGGGAAUGCGGAGGGGGCACGCGUUAUCCGGAUUUACUGGGUGUUAAGGGAGCGUAGACGGUGCGCCAAGUCUGGAGUGAAAUGCCGCAGCUUAACUGCGGAACUGCGUUGGAAACUGGCGAACGAGAGUGCGGGAGGGGUAAGCGGAAUGCCUGGUGUAGCGGUGAAAUGCGUAGAUAUUAGGAGGAACACCGGUGGCGAAGGCAGCU
rnacentral:rRNA from 1 species